AGAGUUUGAUCAUGGCUCAGGACGAACGCUGGCGGCGUGCUUAACACAUGCAAGUCGAACGAUGAACCACUUCGGUGGGGAUUAGUGGCGAACGGGUGAGUAACACGUGGGCAAUCUGCCCUGCACUCUGGGACAAGCCCUGGAAACGGGGUCUAAUACCGGAUACUGAGCCGCUUGGGCAUCCAAGUGGUUCGAAAGCUCCGGCGGUGCAGGAUGAGCCCGCGGCCUAUCAGCUUGUUGGUGAGGUAAUGGCUCACCAAGGCGACGACGGGUAGCCGGCCUGAGAGGGCGACCGGCCACACUGGGACUGAGACACGGCCCAGACUCCUACGGGAGGCAGCAGUGGGGAAUAUUGCACAAUGGGCGAAAGCCUGAUGCAGCGACGCCGCGUGAGGGAUGACGGCCUUCGGGUUGUAAACCUCUUUCAGCAGGGAAGAAGCGAAAGUGACGGUACCUGCAGAAGAAGCGCCGGCUAACUACGUGCCUGCAGCCGCGGUAAUACGUAGGGCGCAAGCGUUGUCCGGAAUUAUUGGGCGUAAAGAGCUCGUAGGCGGCUUGUCACGUCGGUUGUGAAAGCCCGGGGCUUAACCCCGGGUCUGCAGUCGAUACGGGCUGGCUAGAGUUCGGU
rnacentral:rRNA from 1 species